GAGGGUAUAGCUCAAGUGGUAGAGCACAUGCUUAGCAUACAUGAGGUCCUGGGUUCAAUUCCCAGAACCUCCU
rnacentral:tRNA from 1 species